AAGUCGAGCGAACAGACGAGGAGCCUGCUCCUCUGACGUUAGCGGCGGACGGGUGAGUAACACGUGGAUAACCUACCUAUAAGACUGGGAUAACUUCGGGAAACCGGAGCUAAUACCGGAUAAUAUAUUGAACCGCAUGGUUCAAUAGUGAAAGACGGUUUCGCUGUCACUUAUAGAUGGAUCCGCGCCGCAUUAGCUAGUUGGUAAGGUAACGGCUUACCAAGGCAACGAUGCGUAGCCGACCUGAGAGGGUGAUCGGUCACACUGGAACUGAGACACGGUCCAGACUCCUACGGGAGGCAGCAGUAGGGAAUCUUCCGCAAUGGGCGAAAGCCUGACGGAGCAACGCCGCGUGAGUGAUGAAGGUCUUCGGAUCGUAAAACUCUGUUAUUAGGGAAGAACAAAUGUGUAAGUAACUAUGCACGUCUUGACGGUACCUAAUCAGAAAGCCACGGCUAACUACGUGCCAGCAGCCGCGGUAAUACGUAGGUGGCAAGCGUUAUCCGGAAUUAUUGGGCGUAAAGCGCGCGUAGGCGGUUUUUUAAGUCUGAUGUGAAAGCCCACGGCUCAACCGUGGAGGGUCAUUGGAAACUGGAAAACUUGAGUGCAGAAGAGGAAAGUGGAAUUCCAUGUGUAGCGGUGAAAUGCGCAGAGAUAUGGAGGAACACCAGUGGCGAAGGCGACUUUCUGGUCUGUAACUGACGCUGAUGUGCGAAAGCGUGGGGAUCAAACAGGAUUAG
rnacentral:rRNA from 1 species